CGAAUCCUGGGAAACACACACACACACACACACGCACACACAAAGAGAGAAAGAGAGAGUUAAAGAUUAGAGCGCAGAGGAAGGGCCCAAAGGUAAAAUGGAUAAGGCUGCUUCAUUAGCUCCACCAUGCAGUUCACACCACAAUGUGGGAGAGGUCUCAGCUCUGGGAUCUGUUUAUUCACUCAACCAAUUAAACAAACCAUUUCAGGGUUUAUGGCCAUUCCCCCAGGCUAACUGACCCAGAAGAGGGCCGUCGCUGUAGGGGAGGCAGGGCAGGGAAACCAUUGAAGACGGGCUCUUUUCACACUAGACCGUGACGGGCGUCACACACACACACACGUCUGUCUUUAACAGAGAGGGGACUGACGUCGGAGAGGGCUGUCUCUGGUGAGAAGACGAAAACUUGUGCCUCCAUGUUGGCGUCAGACCGAGAGACGUCACGCAGCGGCUUUACGAGGCGGAGCAGAGGAGCAGUGGAGGAUUCAUCCGCUGACGUCAGCGGCACAGCACCACCCGCUCGGGAGCCAGCAGGAUCAGCAGGGUGAACCAGCUCUACAGAGAGAAGGCCUUCAGGUGAAAUAAGUGGGAAAAGGCAGAGAAACACAAAAAAAACAUGAUGGAUCUAUAGCUCGUUGUUGAAGUAUGACGUUGAAACAUGUUUUUGUGUUUGAGAUUUCAUCAACACAGACUUCCUGACGUCGUGUCAUUAUCUUCUCUUUUCGUGGUUGUAUAUUAAAGUCGUCCUGUACUUCAUUCUUUGGCACUGAACGCCGCCAGUGAGCAUAAAUUGAUGCAGGUCAAACGCGUAUGAACUUAAUUUGUUGGGUUGCAGAUUGAUGGUCGGGAGCAGCAGGAGAGCCAAACACACUGCGUGAAUCUUGGAAGGUUUAUUUCUCAGAUGUUUAAUCUCCUGCGACUAAUUAUAUUGUAUAUAACUUUCUCCCCUUAAUAAAUCCACCAUACGUAACUAGGUCGAGCUGUGCACAGCCAGGAUUCACACCACAUGUACAUGAGCGUGAUAGAAUAUCUACUGUAUCUAUCUCAAUAUUUAAAAUGAGUCAGGCUACUUAACUCCAUUAUUUUAUGCUGUACUGUUCAUGAUACUACAAUUUAGUAUUGUCUGGGAUAUUCUCAGUAAAUGCGAGCAAUUUGUUUGGGGUUUUGAAGUUGCAGUGUGUAGAAUUUAGGGCAGUAAGCAGAAAUCAAAAACACUAUAUCUUUUCAUUGGUCAAACAACAGCAGCAAUUACGUAAUUCUAGACCCAGAAUAAAACGUUUCUUCACUCAGGCUGGGAUAUGCCGCUGCCUUUUUUUAUUCAUGUAGUUGUAAGGUUGCAGAUUCCAAAUGACCACCUGUCUCCAGAAGAUGGAUAAAUGAAGCUUCGCUGUAAAUUCAGUCAGGAAGACUGGACAUGCUGUCCUGUUCCCUGGUGGCCUCCUCUCUCCCUGGGGGCGUACGGCCUGCUGAUUAGGGGCGGGGGCGGGUAGUACCACCCAACCAGACUUCUCAUUUUAGCACGCACCAAAGGCGACCCACCACCACACCUCCAAUCUACAGCAGAACUUGGAGAUUGGAGCAACUUAUUCUCUACCACCACAACCCAGUUUCACAGCAAAACGUUUUGCUGUGAAACUGUGUUGACCACCACCACAAGUGUCUGGAUAUACCUCAUCUCGGCUCGGCAUCACGUCCCCUGGUCUAUCCUCAAACAAACUAGCCUCAAACGAGUUACGCAAUAUGAAUAUUUAUGCUUGUUAUAACAAAGAAUUGUCCAAAACUGUUAUCAGCUGCUCUGACAGCAAAACAAAUAUUUGGAAAUAAUUGUAAUAAAUAAUGAUCUCCAUUAAAUCCCAAUGUUCUAUUGAAAAGCUGGAGUUAGGAGCUCCAGGCAUGCUUACAGAGCACUGACCCUGGGGGACGCCCACACACGGCAUCACGGUGAGUCAUCAGCUCUCAGAUCUCUUAUAACCGGCUUAACUUACAUUCGGCAGUAUUUUAAAGGUUUCCUGUGUUUUAAAUGUCGUAUUUCCAAAAUUCAACAUUCAUGUUGUUUCCACAUGAAAUUCUCCGUAGGGACUCAUGUCUGCACCGAUUAACCCAAUGAUCUGUAUUAUUUGGAAAUACGUUCAACUUAAAGAUUAACUUGUCCAAGAGAUUAGUUGAGUGAUUUAGAGAAAUUUUCUUCUUCAACUUUGUUCGUCCUCACAGCUACACAUUCAACUUGCUGCUGUCGUCCACCAUUUUCCCUCCGGCUCGUCCCUCAGUUUCUUAGAAAACACUUCCGCUCAAGGUUGAUGACUCACAUUUAACAACAGUAAUAAAAGCUCGCUUUCCUCACAGCUUUUAAUGGAAAGGAGAGAGGAGACGAGACGAGGGGAGAGUACAGAGGACCGUCUCUUUUGUCGAAGAUUUAACAGACAGGAAUAAUGUUGAAUAAACAAUGAAUAAAUGAUGAGCGUGCAACCUUAUCCACACACUGAUCAUUGAAUUAUUGAUGAAGACACUCCAAACGCUGACUUCAACUAUGGGAACGACUUGAAGUGCACCAACAUCAGGACUCGACACCUGUUAGCUGAAUUUAUUCAUGCAAAGCUCCACCUGUCGCCGGGUCUGCUUCCAUGAUUACUCACACACGGGAACUCGGCGUGGAGUAGACAUGUUGUCCUUUUAAAAGUACAAGGAAACAAAGGAGAAAAGCGAUUCAAAAAAGGAACUCACCGAGGG